AAGAGGUAUACAGCACGCUCGUUCAGAAUCGGCGUGGCCACCACGGCCGCUAAGCGGGGUCUGUCCCCUACUGCGAUCAAGGCGCUGGGCCGUUGGUCGUCUGGCGCAUACGUUUCCUGCAUUUGCCUCACUCCUCAUCACGUCGUUGAAGCAUGCUAUAUCUGGUCACGAUUCCGGCUCUCUACCUACUGUCAUAAUCUAAGUUUUCAGCGCUCUCCUGACCAAGGUGCAUCUAUCAAUCAAAUCAUAACGCUCUGCUGUGUCUCUGCUCUCAGCGCAUCCGCGCCAUGUCUUCUCGCAUAGCCUAAGAUGGUGUCUCCUUGUAAGCGGUAGUUAAGCCGAUUUUGAAGCCACCACCACCCCUCCGUCCACCGUCACCAGAGGUUCCCGUCUGUUAGGGGGCAGGCUACGCCCGCCUCCAUCUCCGCUGGAGGAUAUGCUGUCCUACCCCGGAGUUCAACGCGAAGACGGGAACCUUCGCCAAACAGAUUCAUGCAUUUUGUAUCAAGUGUAAUUGUUCGCCAAACUUUUAUGCAUUCCUGUAUCAUGUCUAAUGUUCAAUA